CCUACGGGUGGCUGCAGUGGGGAAUUUUGGACAAUGGGGGCAACCCUGAUCCAGCCAUGCCGCGUGAGUGAAGAAGGCCUUCGGGUUGUAAAGCUCUUUCGGCCGGGAAGAAAUCGCUCAAGCUAAUACCUUGGGUGGAUGACGGUACCGGACGAAGAAGCACCGGCUAACUACGUGCCAGCAGCCGCGGUAAUACGUAGGGUGCGAGCGGUAAUCGGAAGUACUGGGGGGAAGCCGUGCGCAAGCUGUGAAAUCCCCGGGCUUAACCUGGGAACUGCGUUUGUGACUGUGGUGCUCGAGUGCGGCAGAGGGGGGUGGAAUUCCACGUGUAGCAGUGAAAUGCGUAGAGAUGUGGAGGAACACCGAUGGCGAAGGCAGCCCCCUGGGUCGACACUGACGCUCAUGCACGAAAGCGUGGGGAGCAAACAGGAUUAGAUACCCGGGUAGUC
rnacentral:rRNA from 1 species